GAAAAGGUUUGUGCACACUUUACUGAGGAGUCUAAAGCCUUCCUGCUGGGUGAUCGACAACCAGUUUUUAGGCUAAAGAAAAGGAAGUUUGAGGAGACCUUUCAGGCAGAGCCACAACAUCGGGUUCAGGAAUUAUCAUCACAGGGAGAUGUACUGCAUCCUGUGUUGGGGGAUGCACCACUAGAAUCACUAGGAUCAUCAUAAGAG